rnacentral:lncRNA from 10 species
CCUGACGAUGGGAGGGAGGGAGGGAGGGAGAGGGAGGGAGCAAGGGAAGGAGGGUGAGGCGUAACAGGGAGACCGGGUGUCGGGAGAACCAGAGGAGAGGAGACUGGAAAGAAGCGGGGAAGUGUGCCUGGGGCAGCUUCCGAAGGGGAACGGCGGGGACAGAUGAGGGGGGCGCGAUUGCAACCAGAGCGCCCGCGAGCUCCCGGAUUUCUUCUCUUUCCUCGCUAUUUCCCGCACACACAGCCCUGCAGCCCUCCCUUCUUCCUUCCUGGCUUGUGAUUAGAACGCAGCCGCAGGCGGAAGUGCAGUGACGCCAUCAGCCGUCGCCUGAGCCGUGGCGCGCGGGUGGCCGAAAGGCGAAAGUGAGAUUUCAAGGGCCGGGUCUGGGGCCCCGCGGGCGCGCAGUGCUGCGGCGUGUGGGGAGUACGGGGAGGCUGGAGAGGAGCCGGCCCCGGGCAGUGUGAGGUGCGGAAGCGCGGUCCAGACACUUUGCUGACGGGAGGCCGGUCCGCCAGAUCCGGGAGGUGGGGCCUCGUUCUGGACUGCUAUAAGAAACAGAGGCAAAUGCAGGUUAAGGAACCUCACAGUAAGGGAUAAAACUCAUAUUUUAACCUGAUCUGCCUGAUUCUGGAGCCUGCACCAUCAUUCCAUUGUCGUGCUUGCCACAUGGAGAAUGAUAAGGGGAGAGAGUAAGAAAGCAAUGAGAUACACAUGUCUUGACUGCUUCUCUUCAUGCUGAAAUCCUGGGGGAAAGAAGUGCUAAAUCAGUUGAGGACAUGGGAACAUUUAUUCUGGAAGAAAUUUGGGUACAGAGACAGACAAGCACCAAGAGAAGAUGAUGUGAAGAAGCACAGCGAGAACACCAUGUGAAAAUGGAGGACUGGAAUGAAGCAUCUACAAGCCAGGAAAUGUCUGAGGCUACCAGAAGCCAGGAGAGAGGCCUGGAACAGAUCCUGCACUAGAACCUUCAAAGAGAGCAUGGUCCUGCUGACAUGUUGAUUUUGGACUUCUGGCCUCCAGAGCUGUGAGAAUAAAUUUCAGUUGUUUUAAGCCAUCCAGUUUUUGGUACCUUAUUAUGGCAGCCCUAGCAAACUAAUAUAGACUCCGAUAAGAAUUCAACUGAUAUAUGCCAUGAAAUUUAGUAUAUCAUCAGGACUGGGAGAAACUGGUAACUUUAUAGGUGAAUAUGAAAGAUGAUAGGGAUAACUG